rnacentral:rRNA from 1 species
UACAGAGGGUGCUAGCGUUGUUCGGAAUCACUGGGCGUAAAGGGCGCGUAGGCGGCCGAUCAAGUCGGAGGUGAAAGCCCGGGGCUCAACCCCGGAAUGGCUUUCGAAACUGCUGAGCUAGAGUACAGAAGGGGCAACCGGAAUUCCCAGUGUAGCGGUGAAAUGCGUAGAUAUUGGGAAGAACACCUGAGGCGAAGGCGGGUUGCUGGGCUGAUACUGACGCUGAGGCGCGAAAGCCAGGGGAGCAAACGGG